GAAAUGCGAUACGUAAUGUGAAUUGCAGAUUCCGUGAAUCAUCGAAUCUUUGAACGCAAAUUGUACUUCCUAGUAAUCUAGAAAGUAUGCUUGGUUGAGGGUCAUUAAAAUAACAUUCGUGAAUUCUUUCGCGGAUUUGAGUUUUCCAGCGUUUAUAAUAUAAACGUUGGUAACUUUAAAAUUAUUUUUACUUGGUACAAGUUGAAAACGUGCUAUAUGUUUGGUUCGCUGACAACUUGUCCAUCUCUAUAUAUUAUGCGCGCACUUGGUUUUUAAAGCUCUGUGCGAGUAUAUAUUUUUUUUAUGACCUCAGCUCAAGCAAGAAUACCCGCUGAACUUAA
rnacentral:misc_RNA from 1 species